AUAGCUCAGUGGUAGAGCGUUGGUCUUGUAAACCAAAGGUCCGUAGUUCAAUCCUGCGU
rfam:Caenorhabditis tropicalis strain JT1373 unplaced genomic scaffold Scaffold629, whole genome shotgun sequence.